rnacentral:lncRNA from 1 species
GAGUCUAGGCUAAUUUAUUAGUGUCUAUAAAGAUAUACGACUAACUAUCGACUUUAAUAAGGUAAGUCACACACACACUUCAACCCUUUGAAAAUCACAAAAAAAUGUUUUUGUACCUAUAUAGUUAGCAAAUAGCGCAAUUAGUUGUUUAUGGGAGGAAAUUGCAUUGGAUAAUCAAUUAUCCCUUAGGUAUAAUCGAUUAUUACUUUUGUAACGCCUCAAUAAUCAACUACUAGGGUUAAUAGUUG